rnacentral:miRNA from 1 species
UAUGAUGACGGUUUUGGUUGUCAGGCUGAGCAAAGUCCGUUUUCACGGACUUUGCUCAGCCUGACAAGAAUACCCUCUUUUUA